AAAAAAAAAUUUUAUACAAUAUACAAAGUCUUUUGUAUCAUUUCAAUUUAUAAUUUUACAUUUUAUAGAUCGAAUGAUAUUUGUUUAUGGAGCUAUUUCUGCAAGUAAAUUUUAAGUACUUGUUUUAACAUUAUGGAGGUAUUUACUUAAGUAUUUAAAAUAUUUUUAAUUAGCUUGAAGUUGUAAAGUUGUAAGAUGUGCGAUGGCACAGUGAGAAAGUUGUAAGAAGGCGAUAGGAGGUAUGCAAGUAGAUGGUAGGUUAAGCCUGAUGGAGAAGAAGAACGAUAUAAAAAAUGUUUUUUCGUCCUUGUAUUAAAUUAAUAUUUUUUGAAAGACAUUCUAAAAACGAAAAGAGAACUAGGGGCAAGUUAAAAAAAACGUUUAUUAGAUGUUAUGAUUCAGAUUGCGAAUAAAUUCUAAUCUCGGUCGAGAAUAGAAUGUACGUAUACUGUCUUAACUAUUCUGUCAAGACCCAACUGGGUUCAUACAAUAAGAUUGCAUUUUAAUACUUACGUUAUAUGAAGAAAAAUAUUGGCACUUGUAAUAACAAAAAAAAAAAAAAGCUCUCGUAGUAACGAGAUAAACUAUUAAAACAAACAAUAAACAGAUUUAAACAUUUUUCGAUAUUAGAGAGGAGUUAUUAAUUACGCACAAUAAAAAGUAAAGAUUGAUAUCUAGUGUUUGUUUUGUAUACUAUGAAAUUAAAAGAGAAUCUUUUAAUAGAAUAUAAAUUUACUUACUUACCUCAAGUUAAAAAAAUGAGGACUUAUCAAAGUAAAAAAAGUAAGACCAGAUCCACAAGUUAUUUGAGAAGAAUUUUGAACCAAGCCGCAUUUGAAAACUUGUUUAUCCGCAUUUCCAAACCGACACAUAGAUCAAACUUUCAUCGAAUUGCAACACAAACAAAAACACCAGUUAUUAUUGACGAAAAGCAUUACAUCGAAUUAAAAAACUUUAAAAACAAGCUUAAAGAAUUUAAUGCUUUAUCAAACUUUCAUGGUCAGUAUUGGCAAUGCAUUGGUCAUAUAAAUAUUCGAAUGAAGUUAUGUGCUCAAUGCUUUAGUGUUAAUCAAAGUGAUUCCCAUAAUAGCGAGUUGUAUUUUGUUGAUAAACUUGAAAAAGCUCAUGUAAGAACAUCGUUAUGUUACAAUUGUAUUUUGUUAUUCAUUAUGUAAAAUUAAACAACCAGCAACAAGUUACAAGAAAAUUAUAAUAUUAAACAACCUUCGACAAGUUACAAGAAAAAAUUGUGAAAAAUACAAAUAUAGUAUAUGUGCAACUUAACAAAAAAGCAACAAUUGCCUAAAGAAGUGCAGACAGUAGUAUGAAAAGUGAAACGUUUAAAACUAAAGAUAGCUGAAAAUAUAUAUUGAGUGUUCAGUUUACUUGUGUUAAUAUACACUUGUGUUCAGUUUGACGGUUUGUGACUGAAGCAAUAUUUGGUUUAAUCACAAUUGCAAUUUUAUAUACAAAAAGUGUUUAUUAAAUAUAAUGAGAAACUUCUUCAUUUAAUGUUGUCAAAUCAAACCAUUUUAAGCUACAUAAUAUAUUAUUAAUAAAGCCUGAGUGCUUUGAAUACGCAUAAAAGCGCUUUGGGACUUGGCUGAGAGACCUUGUGUCUUACAAGGUUACCAAAAAUCCAAUUUUACGAAAAGCAAAAUUAACAAAAUGAAUUUAUUGACUCAAUACAGAAUUAUUAUGGAAUGGCAAUUAGAAGAAUCAUCGAUAAUAUUUAUAUAUGAUAAUAAAUUUAUCUUUAUCUAAUUACUAAUAAUAAGUAAUUGAUUCUACGGUAAUUUGUCUAAGCGCAAAAAUUAAGCUUGUCGCAAUGAAAAUUAAUCCGAAAACAAACAACAGAUUGAAGAAAAAAGUCAGGAUCAAACGCAACCUUCUCGAUUCUUGAUACUAUUAAUCGAUACUUGAAACUAUUGACACUAUUAAUCGAUACUUGAAACUAUUGAUACUAUUAAUCGAUACUUGAAACUAUUUAUACUUGAAAAGUAACUACCGAUACUCAAAAAACUUAAAAAAAGAAAAAAUCAAAAAAAUAUAUAUAUGUAAUGAAAACUCGUUUAAAAAUUUAUAUAUAAAAUUAAAAAUAUGUUAAAAUCCUUUAACUAUAAUAAUUAGAUUUAAUAUAUAAACAGGUAUAUAUUUGUAUAAAUGUAGAUAUAUGAAUAAUUAAUAAUUAUACAAUUUAUACUAAGUUACUUUUCGAGUCGAUAAAAUAUAGUAGUAUAGUAGAAGGUAAAUUUAUAGUAAUAUGAUAGUUCGAAAAAGAAAAAGAUAGUAAGGAAGGAAAAGAAAAUAUGAUAGUUCGAAAAGAAAAAAGAUAGUAAGGAAGGAAAAGAAAAGUAAUGUACUAAAAAUAGUACAAAGAAAACGUAACUGAGAAGAAAAAGAAGAAGAAGAAGAAAAUGUAUAUAUAUCAAAAUGCAGAAAAUUCUAAAACAUAUGACCAAAAAACAAAACGCGUUUUAUCUAUUCAGAAAUCCACCCUUGAGUUGUUUUUUAAUAUAAAUAUUUUAUAGAUAUAUAUUAUAUACAAGCAAAACCUUAAUCCUUCAUUUUUCAUAAAUCAGCUGACAAAAAGGUAGAACAUGUAAGGAGUGUACAUACAUCGACAUCGUACAUACAUCAUUUAUUUUCAUCACACUUAUUGACUGAAAAUAUGUAGAACGUACAACGAGUGGGGCAAGUUAAGUAAUAAACAAAGUAAAGCAUAUGUAUGAUAUAAAUUUUGAAACAAAAGAUUGCCAACUGCGUAAAGACAUUUGACGCACAACUUUAAAGUUUUUUUUUUUUGAUUGAGGUCAUAAACAACACUUGCAAAAACUCAAAUGCGUACUUUAUUUACAAACCGCCUUCUAGUAAUAAAAAUAACAUUUGACAAACUAUUUAAAAGCCCAGUUAAAAAUAAAUAUAUGUUCAAAAACAAAAACAAAAAAAGAAAAAAACAGCGCUUAAAAAAAAGUUCAUAAAAAAAGAACC